GUAGAGAUGGGGUUUUACCAUGUUGGCCAGGAUGGUCCCCAUCUCUUGACCUCAGGUGAUCCACCUGCCUCCGCCUCCCAAAGUGUGGGAUUACAGGCAUGAGCCACUGCGCCUGGCCAGCAGCAUGAGACUUUCUAACCCAGCUUUCUUUUCCCAAUCCUGAGCAGCCCAUCUGGGGCUAUGUGACUGACGGACCACUAAAACUGCCUCUGAUUCCACAUUUUGAUUUUUGCUCCCAUGUGUUCGAAUGUAUAAGCACUGUUCACAUUUUUCCCCCUCAUAUUACUUCUAUAACAACCUUGAGGUGGUCAAGGAAAAGAAAAAACACCGUCGACAUUCCUAGGCAUUUUAAUGAAAUGCACACCGGGUAUCUGACCCAGACUCCUACUUCCCUGCCAAUCUCCAGCUCAUAUCAAUUCAUUUCCCUAACAGAAAAUAGGUGUCAGCUUUGUAGAUGGAAAGUCAUUUGCCUGCAAAUAUUACCAGAGAGGUUACUGGCACUACUUGACAGUUUUAUUAUUACUUUUGUUUUGCGCUAAGGUGGGGGACUGUGCAUUUGCCAGGUAGAAUACUGGGGAAAAAAAAAAAAAAAAAGUAGAGCUUUUAACUUUGUAUUAGUUUUAACAUCAGAGGGGAAAACAAGAAACAAAGAAUAAGUGUGCUGGCCGGAUGCCCAGUACGGCUAAGGGCAGCCUCACAGGAUCCUGGCUUUCCUCACUUCCCACCCACAAACUUUCAGAUCCUGAAGCUUCAGUGUGGGUUAGAGGGAAUUACUCUGCAGCACCUGGAAAGCCAGCUCACAGGUGGGCUGCUGGGGUGACUUGGCCGGGCCUGCUUGUAAACACUGGCUAUCAACUCCUUUACAAGGAUUGAAGCUCAAUUUCAUAUGCUGCAGAGAGAUGCAAGGUAUUAUAUACCAAUGAUCCCUAAAUAUUCUUUUCUUCUUCACAUGGCUGUGAAGUUGCAAACUGAGUAUCCUUUUCAAGGGCUUGUUGAAGCAGAGAAUGAAAUACACUUAUACAGACUAAAAUAUAUCCUUAACUGACUAGCAGAGAGAUUUUGGCUUUCAUUCCAGAAUGAUGUUGCACAGAAAAGUCAACUCUUGUUCCAGGGCACGAGUAAAGAUAUCAACUCAUCUAUCUGUAGAAAAUUGCCAGAAACUGUCACAAAAUAAAAAAUGAGAGAAGGCCUGAAUUACAACAGUCCUGUUGGGGUUCUACAAGAUCCCGGCCUUUCUUCGAAGUGCUUGGAAGACCUUGGCAGAUUCAGCCAGUGUUUUGAUCACUGCCAGAGCCUGCAGCUUUGUUGCUAAUUGUUUGCUGAAAGAAUUGAGCAAAAGGACAACUGGUCCCAAGGCAAGAGUGAGGAGGCUGUCUCUUCACUAGAACUAAAGAACCAAAACUGUUCAGAAAGAGAGAAGAGCCCAGCACCUUAUACUCAGGAGAUACUGAAAAACGUCAUGUAAAGUGUUUACUGUUGCGAGAAAAGUACACGUCAGAGGAUGCCCAUUAUUGAUAUAGAGCCUUCUGUGUACCCUGGAUGAGCAUGACCAGGAUGUCACCCUCAGUUGGCUGCAGCUGUUUUCAGAAUCUGUGGGAUCAUACCCCAGAGGCAGUUGAGUCAGCCGCAGGCAUCAGGUGAGGAGGAAGAAGAGUGAGACAGCUAUUACAGGCUGCCGGGGCAGGUGGCUGUGAAGAGGUGUGGGGCCACCAAGGCUUAUAUAAGGAGGAUGGAGAACACAGGCCAAAGGGGAGGCUGUCAUGCUGACUUCGAUUGGCUAACUUAAUAUGAGGCAGACUGAGGGAGGAGGAAGAGGGCAGGAGAGAACAUGCUUUAGAAAGCAUGACGGUGUCUCAUCUGUUUGCAAGCGAACACGUAGGUGCCUUCCAAAUAGGAUCCUGAAGAAUGUGCAGAUAAAUGAAAAAUCUGAUAUACAAUAAACCACAUACCUCUUUA